CCUACGGGUGGCAGCAGUCGAGAAUCAUUCACAAUGGGGGAAACCCUGAUGGUGCGACGCCGCGUGGGGGAAUGAAGGUCUUCGGAUUGUAAACCCCUGUCAUGUGGGAGCAAAUUAAAAAGAUAGUACCACAAGAGGAAGAGACGGCUAACUCUGUGCCAGCAGCCGCGGUAAUACAGAGGUCUCAAGCGUUGUUCGGAAUCACUGGGCGUAAAGCGUGCGUAGGCUGUUUCGUAAGUCGUGUGUGAAAGGCGCGGGCUCAACCCGCGGACGGCACAUGAUACUGCGAGACUAGAGUAAUGGAGGGGGAACCGGAAUUCUCGGUGUAGCAGUGAAAUGCGUAGAUAUCGAGAGGAACACUCGUGGCGAAGGCGGGUUACUGGACAUUAACUGACGCUGAGGCACGAAGGCCAGGGGAGCGAAAGGGAAUAGAUACCCCAGUAGUC
rnacentral:rRNA from 1 species